rnacentral:lncRNA from 10 species
AUGGGGGAAAUGAGUUAAGAGGGGUCCCGAAAUCUGUAGAGUGCUGGUUUGGGGGCUCGCCAUCCCAAAUCUGUUCCAGCCUGUCCUGAGGAAAAUGGAGUGUAAUUAAGGGUGAGCACCCUUAAUUCUUGAGCUGUCUUUCCAGAUACACCUCGCUGCUUGGAGAUUCAGUGAACCUAAGAAAAGGUGCAAAAACUAUUUAGGUCAACUUGGAGAGCAGGGGAAGGAAGAAAUAAGAAAUAAAGAGGUACCGAAAGCUGGAACAUACUUCGGAGAAACACCUAGGCCAGCCCUCUCACUGGAAACACAGCACAGCACAGAACAAAACAGACACAGCUCCUGUCCCCGGGCUGACAGCCAAGUAGGAGAGAUGAAUGUUCAACAAUCUUGCACAUAAGCACAGCCAUCUAAGGUGGGCACUAUUUUAGUAUUGAGGAAACUGAG